UACGUAGGUGGCAAGCGUUGUCCGGAUUUACUGGGCGUAAAGGGCGCGUAGGCGGCCUUCUAAGUCAGACGUGAAAUCCCUCGGCUCAACCGAGGAACUGCGUCUGAUACUGGAAGGCUUGAAUCCGGGAGAGGGAUGUGGAAUUCCAGGUGUAGCGGUGAAAUGCGUAGAUAUCUGGAGGAACACCGGUGGCGAAGGCGGCAUCCUGGACCGGUAUUGACGCUGAGGCGCGAAAGCUAGGGGAGCAAACGGG
rnacentral:rRNA from 1 species